GAUCCUGGUUCAGGAUAAACGCUGGCGGCGCACAUAAGACAUGCAAGUCGAACGGAAGUCGUUACGAAAUGGAAUGAAGAUUUAUCUGAUUGAAGUUUUGUAACAAUGGCUUUAGUGGCGGACUGGUGAGUAACACGUAAGCAAUCUACCUAUUAGAGGGGAAUAACAAUGAGAAAUCAUUGCUAAUACCGCAUAAGCUUGUAGUACCGCAUGGUACAGCAAGAAAAAGGAAGCAAUCCGCUAA
rnacentral:rRNA from 1 species